UGCUUACCAUGCAGUCGAACGGGAUCCAUCAGGCUUUGCUUGGUGGUGAGAGUGGCGAACGGGUGAGUAAUGCGUGACCGACCUGCCCCAUACACCGGAAUAGCUCCUGGAAACGGGUGGUAAUGCCGGAUGCUCCGACUCCUCGCAUGGGGUGUCGGGAAAGAUUUCAUCGGUAUGGGAUGGGGUCGCGUCCUAUCAGGUAGUCGGCGGGGUAACGGCCCACCGAGCCUACGACGGGUAGCCGGCCUGAGAGGGCGACCGGCCACAUUGGGACUGAGAUACGGCCCAGACUCCUACGGGAGGCAGCAGUGGGGAAUAUUGCACAAUGGGCGCAAGCCUGAUGCAGCGACGCCGCGUGCGGGAUGACGGCCUUCGGGUUGUAAACCGCUUUUGAUCGGGAGCAAGCCUUCGGGUGAGUGUACCUUUCGAAUAAGCACCGGCUAACUACGUGCCAGCAGCCGCGGUAAUACGUAGGGUGCAAGCGUUAUCCGGAAUUAUUGGGCGUAAAGGGCUCGUAGGCGGUUCGUCGCGUCCGGUGUGAAAGUCCAUCGCUUAACGGUGGAUCUGCGCCGGGUACGGGCGGGCUGGAGUGCGGUAGGGGAGACUGGAAUUCCCGGUGUAACGGUGGAAUGUGUAGAUAUCGGGAAGAACACCAAUGGCGAAGGCAGGUCUCUGGGCCGUUACUGACGCUGAGGAGCGAAAGCGUGGGGAGCGAACAGGAUUAGAUACCCUGGUAGUCCACGCCGUAAACGGUGGAUGCUGGAUGUGGGGCCCGUUCCACGGGUUCCGUGUCGGAGCUAACGCGUUAAGCAUCCCGCCUGGGGAGUACGGCCGCAAGGCUAAAACUCAAAGAAAUUGACGGGGGCCCGCACAAGCGGCGGAGCAUGCGGAUUAAUUCGAUGCAACGCGAAGAACCUUACCUGGGCUUGACAUGUUCCCGACAGCCGUAGAGAUAUGGCCUCCCUUCGGGGCGGGUUCACAGGUGGUGCAUGGUCGUCGUCAGCUCGUGUCGUGAGAUGUUGGGUUAAGUCCCGCAACGAGCGCAACCCUCGCCCUGUGUUGCCAGCACGUCAUGGUGGGAACUCACGGGGGACCGCCGGGGUCAACUCGGAGGAAGGUGGGGAUGACGUCAGAUCAUCAUGCCCCUUACGUCCAGGGCUUCACGCAUGCUACAAUGGCCGGUACAACGGGAUGCGACACGGCGACGUGGAGCGGAUCCCUGAAAACCGGUCUCAGUUCGGAUUGGAGUCUGCAACCCGACUCCAUGAAGGCGGAGUCGCUAGUAAUCGCGGAUCAGCAACGCCGCGGUGAAUGCGUUCCCGGGCCUUGUACACACCGCCCGUCAAGUCAUGAAAGUGGGUAGCACCCGAAGCCGGUGGCCUAACCCUUUGUGGAUGGAGCCGUCUAAGUAGACUCC
rnacentral:rRNA from 1 species